GUGUAGUCCGCUAGACGUCGGGAGGCGCAAAGAGAAAAGUGAGGUUACGAAAUCGCUACGCUAGCGCUCGUGCUCCGACGACGCCAGCUGUCACAUACACACAGACAGAAAGACAGACAGAGAAUCGAGAGUAUAGCGACAAUCAGCAACGUCCGCUAAUUCAGUCCGCACCAGCUGGCAAAAGUCAUCGUGUGCAGUGUUUUCUUUUUUUCUCCUCUUGUGUGCAAAAUCUUCUAUCGACCGAUCGACUGAGCGAGCAACACACCAUCGAGCUAACCUCCGAUCAACGCUGUUACGUUACGAUUUCAGAAAAAUGCCAGACCGUCAGCGCUGCUGCAGCAGCAGAGGCUAGAGAGUAAGAUCGACGAUGGCUCGUCACGGAGAUGAGCGAGCGUUGCACAGCUUGCCGGUGAUGCCUCUGACGCAGGCGUCGAUCAACAACCACAACAACAGCAGCGAAAGCGGCGCCUCGUCGCCGGUGACCUCGCCUCUCUCGCCGACGGAUUCCUCGAGGAUACCCAGACCGUCGCCCACGGCGCUGAGGCGAUCGUCGAGUCUCAGGCUGAGAGGCGAGAGGUCGUCGUACCUGCACUCGCAGAACCUUCACAGGAGCCAGCAGCAUCACGAUCUGUUUCCGGUAAUCACCGAGAACGGCACACCCACCAGAUGCUCAUCCAGCCUGUCGCUGACGCCGUCGCGGGGCCGAACGACGCGUCCUCGGGCGAGUCCGAGCAGCACUAGUCUCAGUCAUCACCAGCAUGGAGCUUGCAGCGAGGACUGCAGCGACGUCGAGAGCGUCAAGAGCUUCGGCAGUAACUACAGCACGGCCAGCGCUUGCGACCACGCGAGCUUCGCCCUCAACGGUACCACAUGGUCGGGCAGGUCCAGGAGGUACGUCGUGCACUGCUCGACCCACACGGCGGACAACGACGAGUACCUCACGCCGACACAGAGGGCCGCCAAACAAGUGCGCAAGUUUCAGGCCCUGCUGAGGGAGGCCAGAAAGGAGAUCGAGGAAAAGGAGCGCGAGAUCUUCCGCCUGACGAAAGAAGUCGUCGAGCUGCGCCUCUACAAAGCCUCCCUGAACAGUCCCGACGAGAAAACCGACAGCAGCGAAGCCGCGACGGUGCGGGAGAACAACCCCUUCUCCCCGGAGUCGCCCUGCAAGGAGCUACCAGCCGAAAGCUCCUUCGUUGAAAGCACGCUCACGAGUCCACGGACGCCCGAGAAGAAGGAGUCCUCCCUCGUGGACUCGGGACACUUCGAGGAUGGCUCGGUACACUCCAAGGAGUCCGUCGGCGCGGUGGCCAUCGAAAGCGCAAACCUCAUCAACGAGAGCUGCAUCUCGACGGCGAGCAGUAGCCUCCUCGCGACGCCUCACGACGAGAGCCACAAUUUGCUGGAGCUUUCGGAGACGGAUCAUGCGGAGGAGAGACUCGAAAGCUCCUUCCAGGACGAGGAGAGGAAGAGGAUCGUAGAUCACUAUGAGAACAGGAUCGAGGAGAUGCACAGGAGGCACGUGGACGAGAUCCAGCUGCUCAAGCAAAAUCACAACGACAAGGUCGAGAGCCUGCUGAAUCAGCUGUCCGAAGUAAGUACGCGCUAUUGCGAAACUCGCCCGUCCCUAAAUGCAGCAGAGACUCGAACCAAAGAGCUGGAGACCGAGGUCGAGGCGCUGAGAAGCGAGCUCGCCGAGCAGAAGGCCAUGCUGGCCGACCAAGAGGAGCGCAACAAACAAAUGUACCUGAAAAUGUAUUCCAAGGGUCAGGAGGCUGCGAGAAUCGAGCACGCUGAUCAGGUAGUUGUUCUCGAGCAAGCGCAGAAAAACCCUACGAAAGUUUCAGUAGCCGAGCUUCUUCAGCAAUUAACUGUCACGCAAGCCGAAUUAGAAAACGUCAAGCCAUUCCAGGAUUCAAGCUACUCGCCCGAACCUCUAGCUCUGGCCAAUCGUAGCCAAAGUUUAUUAAGCGUUCAGGAGGCUGUUUCUCUCUGGGUCCUUGGCACGCGUAAGGUAUUGUAUUCCUUACUCCACUGCCACGCGACUUUUCAAAAUUUAUUGGUCUGCAUUGUAUAGUGCGCAUGUCGGUGUCUUUAUUUUUUACUGUGAAUGUUCGUUUUAAAACUUUUUCCUCGUGUGGUUUAAGCAGCAUUUUUUCCGACUAUUUUUUCGUCAAUAGUUUAUGUUGUUUUUUACUAUUGCAAGUGUAACGUAGAUUGCGAAAGUAUUAGGCGAAAUGGGCAGCACAGGGCAAGGGAGGUGCACGUUGAUUAAGGACUUUGCACACACAUAAUAUUUACAGUCGCACUGACGUUCUUGAGAUCAAGUAAGUGAUGCAGUGGUAUUCUGCUAAAAAGCAGUAGCACACUUAGAAGAAACAGCCUCUUAACUCCUCGAUGGACCUUGGUGACGCUAAGCUUCAGCACAGAACUAGCUUAAUUUGGUGAUGUACCGGCGCAUCCUGGAAUCAAGAAACAGUCAGGGAGCUCUCGAUCCCGAAAUCACCCUGCAGUUCCUCAAGUCAGCAAUCUACUACUUCCUCACCGACAAAGAAAACCUUCACGGGCAUUUGAACGCUAUCGAGAGUAUCCUAGGCUUCACCGACUCAGAGAAGCUUAACAUCGACAGGAUAUAUCGUUCGGCUAGAAAGUAAUUACUGUGAAAAAAAUUUGCCUUUUAGCGGAGCGGAUUUGUAAAACAUAAGCGAUUGCAAGUGCUAUACUGCGUUUAUUUUUAUGGACAACAAAUUUUUAUUUCGUGGUGACAAGUGAUAGUAGGGUUGUUUUGAAUAGACAUAUCACGUCGAGUUAAGUACCAUGAAACUUUUAGCGUACAUUUUUUAAAUGCGCAAAACGCUUGAUUAAAAAUGUAUAGAUUUUUUGAUAGUUUACCGUUAUAUUAACUUUUAAUUUGGUUACGAUUCAUGUUGUACAGUGUUUUAUAAGAUAAACAGGAUUCAUGGUACUCAACUGACUCUCAAAGCGAUCAUAAGAUUAAAUAUUGAAAGCUGCUUUACCAAUGCAUACAUUGCCGAAACUUGGCAUUUUUAUCUAUAUUUAGAUAGCUUUUAAAAAUACUUAGCUAAAGUUUUGGGAUUCAUCGCCAAUACGCAUAAAUCUAAAAAUUAUCACAACUACAUUUUGAAUCUUGAAUUUUAUAAAACGACGCAUAAAGUAGGACUAGGAUUUAAUAAAUUUUCCAUGUUUAUAGAGUUUUUCUUGUAGUGAUUGCGAAUAAUACUUCAGUCUUAAUGUUACGUGAAUGUUUGUUUAAAUUAUUUUUUUUUUUGUUUUCUAAUUCAUAAAUGCGCAAUACUACUUAUUUAUAUUUGAAACGAAAUUAUAAAUGUGUAGUAUAUACUCCGUGGAAAAUUUACUUUCAAAGUUCGAUUCUAGACUUUUUCCACAAAUUCUUGAAUCCCUUAACAUAUAGAGAGGCAGAGUCAUAUGCACCGAAGAUUUUUAGAAUUAAAUUAUUAAUCUUACGUGUAAAUCUGGUGAUAUCGUGUCCAGAUGGGAUAACCAAGGAGACUGAUGGUAUAUCUUGCCUUUUGAAUUCGCUCGAUGUAGUACAUUAAGAUACCAAUGACAUUUUUAAACAAAUUCUGUCAAAAUACUUCUUUCAAAUUAUGCACGAUUUCUAAUACUCAAGAAGUCGUACUUUAAUUUUGUAAAAUCUGCAGUUAAUUUACUUUUAAUGUUCUGUAAACAAUAAUUAUUCCGCGCGAAUUCCGGAUUGUUUCCAUUUACAAUGACGUAAAGAAAUAUCUUUAAUUUUGAAUGUUCCCCUAUAAAGCGAGAGUUCCUGCCUUAUUGAUUUGAAUUUAUAUUCAAAUCGAAAAUGCAAUGCGUAAUUUAAAUGGUUCACAAACCUUUAUUACGAUUUUCGAGAGGUUUCACCCCUCUAUAUUUUGAGCUAUUAAUAAGAAAAGGAGUGAUUUUUUUGUAAGGAAUACCCAGAGAAGUGAAGGAGGAUAUCGAAUUCUACAAUUUAAAAAAUCUUUCAGCACAUAUAUCAUUUGAGUGUCACAAAGUUAACAGUUACAUACAUUUUAAAUGGGUAUAAUAAAAGUAUCACAUGACUCCUACAAA